rnacentral:rRNA from 1 species
CACGGGGGGAGCAAGCGUUGUUCGGAAUCACUGGGCGUAAAGGGCGUGUAGGCGGUCAGGUAAGUGGGAUGUGAAAUGCCCCGGCUCACCCGGGGACCGGCAUCCCAUACUGCUUGGCUUGAGUACGGGAGAGGAUGUGGGAAUUCCUGGUGUAGCGGUGAAAUGCGUAGAUAUCAGGAGGAACACCGGUGGCGAAGGCGUACAUCUGGCCCGAUACUGACGCUGAGGCGCGAAAGCUAGGGGAGCAAACAGG